rnacentral:misc_RNA from 1 species
GAAAUGCGAUAAGUAAUGUGAAUUGCAGAAUUCAGUGAAUCAUCGAAUCUUUGAACGCACAUUGCGCCCCCUGGUAUUCCGGGGGGCAUGCCUGUUCGAGCGUCAUUUCACCACUCAAGCCUCGCUUGGUAUUGGGCAACGCGGUCCGCCGCGUGCCUCAAAUCGACCGGCUGGGUCUUCUGUCCCCUAAGCGUUGUGGAAACUAUUCGCUAAAGGGUGUUCGGGAGGCUACGCCGUAAAACAACCCCAUUUCUAGGUUGACCUCGGAUCAGGUAGGGAUACCCGCUGAACUUAAGC